GCUGGCUUUUGUGUGAAGCCUUUCAAGCAGGUUUACAGCUGUGCCAUGGCACUCCUGCUCUGAGAGGUUUAUGCUCAUUUGACAGCAAUCUGGCAGCAGUUUUGCUCAAGAGAUUCAUAACAAUAGAAAAUAGAAGAAAUCUCAUUGAUAUUUUAGACAACAAAGGAAAAACUGAACAAGAAGGAAUCUGCUUACUCCAAUAUAUCGCUGAGAUGCAUGAUGUGCCCUGCAGGAUCCAGCGAGGUACAAACCCAGGAACCUGAGAGGAAGCUUCAAAUGUGACGUCAAAAGGAUAAUGAAGACAAAGCUGUAGCCACAUUUCCACUGUGGUGACACUUCAUGGUGCCUGUUGUAAUAAUCACUUGCUGGAGGAGACACAAGUCCUUCUGAAAGCUUGUGCUCCAGGCACCACGACACUGGGGCUCCAUUUCUGAGGGAAUGGAAGAGAAAAGGGAGUCACCAGGAGAAGGUAACUGAACAGAGACUGAUGAA